GACGAACGCUGGCGGCGUGCUUAACACAUGCAAGUCGAACGGUAAGGCCCUUCGGGGUACACGAGUGGCGAACGGGUGAGUAACACGUGGGUGAUCUGCCCUGCACUUCGGGAUAAGCCUGGGAAACUGGGUCUAAUACCGGAUAGGACCACUGCCUGCAUGGGUGGUGGUGGAAAGCUUUUGCGGUGUGGGAUGGGCCCGCGGCCUAUCAGCUUGUUGGUGGGGUGAUGGCCUACCAAGGCGACGACGGGUAGCCGGCCGGAGCGGGUGACCGGCGCAACUGGGACUGAGAUACGGCCCAGCCUCCUACGGGAGGCAGCAGUGGGGAAUAUUGAACAAUGGGCGCAAGCCUGAUGCAGCGACGCCGCGUGAGGGAUGACGGCCUUCGGGUUGUAAACCUCUUUCAGCACCGACGAAGCGCAAGUGACGGUAGGUGCAGAAGAAGGACCGGCCAACUACGUGCCAGCAGCCGCCGUAA
rnacentral:rRNA from 1 species